AACGAACGCUGGUGGCGUGCUUAACACAUGCAAGUCGAAACGAGAAAAGUUUCCUUCGGGAAAAUUAGUAAAGUUGGCGCAAGGGUGAGUAUCACGUGAAUAAUCUGCCCUCGAGAUCGGGAUAACAUGGUGAAAACUAUGCUAAUACCGGAUAAGACCACAUUUCAUAAGAAAUGCGGUAAAAGGAGUCUCAACCUUCACUCGAGGAUGAGUUCGCGCAACAUUAGCUUGUUAGGUGAGAAUAAAAGCUCACCAAGGCUACGAUGUUUAGCCGGCCUGAGAGGGUGAACGGCCACACUGGAACUGAAGACACGGUCCAGACUCCUACGGGAGGCAGCAGUGGGGAAUAUUGCGCAAUGGGCGAAAGCCUGACGCAGCAACGCCGUGUGAGCGAUG
rnacentral:rRNA from 1 species